AUUGAACGCUGGCGGCAGGCCUAACACAUGCAAGUCGAACGCGAGAGUUCCUUCGGGGACUCUUGAGUGGCGCACGGGUGAGUAAUACGUAGGAACGUGCCUAACGGUGGGGAAUAACCAAGGGAAACCGUGGCUAAUACCGCAUGAAAUCGCGAGAUCAAAGGGGGCCUCUCCUUGGAAGCUCUCGCCGUUAGAGCGGCUUACGUCCUAUUAGCUAGUUGGUAGAGUAAAAGCCUACCAAGGCGAUGAUGGGUAACUGGUCUGAGAGGAUGAUCAGUCACACUGGAACUGAGACACGGUCCAGACUCCUACGGGAGGCAGCAGUGGGGAAUCUUGCACAAUGGGCGAAAGCCUGAUGCAGCAACGCCGCGUGGGUGAAGAAGGUCUUCGGAUUGUAAAGCCCUUUCGGCUGGGAAGAAGGGUGAGAUGGUGAACAACCACCUCAUUUGACGGUACCAGAAGAAGAAGCACCGGCUAAUUCCGUGCCAGCCGCCGCCGUAAUAC
rnacentral:rRNA from 1 species